rnacentral:rRNA from 1 species
UACGUAGGGGGCAAGCGUUGUCCGGAUUUAUUGGGCGUAAAGCGCGUGUAGGCGGCCACACAGGUCCGUUGUGAAAACUCGAGGCUUAACCUCGAGACGUCGAUGGAAACCGUAUGGCUAGAGUCCGGAAGAGGAGAGUGGAAUUCCUGGUGUAGCGGUGAAAUGCGCAGAUAUCAGGAAGAACACCCGUGGCUAAGGCGGCUCUCUAGUACGGUACUGACGCUGAGACGCGAGAGCGUGGGGAGCGAACAGG